CGCGUGAGCAACUUGCCCUCAUCAGGGGAAUAAUCGCUGGAAACGGCGUCUAAUGCCCCAUGGUGAUGUCCUCAGGCAUCUGAGGUCAUCUAAAGAUCCGUCGGAUGGGGAUAGGCUCGCGUGACAUUAGCUAGACGGCGGGGUAACGGCCCACCGUGGCGACGAUGUCUAGGGGUUCUGAGAGGAAGGUCCCCCACACUGGAACUGAGACACGGUCCAGACUCCUACGGGAGGCAGCAGUGAGGAAUAUUGGUCAAUGGCCGGAAGGCUGAACCAGCCAUGCCGCGUGAAGGUCAGUGCCCUAUGGGCGUUAAACUUCUUUUGUGCGGGAGCAAUAAUGGUCACGUGUGGCCAGACGAGAGUACCGUACGAAUAAGCAUCGGCUAACUCCGUGCCAGCAGCCGCGGUAAUACGGGGGAUGCAAGCGUUAUCCGGAUUUAUUGGGUUUAAAGGGUGCGUAGGCUGUGAGGUAAGUCAGCGGUGAAAUGCCCCCGCUCAACGGGGUGAAGUGCCAUUGAUACUGCCUUGCUGGAAUGCGGAUGCCGUGAGAGGAAUGUGUGGAGUAGCGGUGAAAUGCAUAGAUAUCACACAGAACACCGAUUGCGAAGGCAUCUCACGAAUCCGCGAUUACGCUGAUGCACGAAAGCGUGCGUAUCAAACAGGAUUAGAUACCCU
rnacentral:rRNA from 1 species